rnacentral:rRNA from 1 species
CUGGAUUCGCUAGUAAUCGCGCAUCAGCCAUGGCGCGGUGAAUACGUUCCCGGGCCUUGUACACACCGCCCGUCAAGCCAUGAAAGCCGGGGGCGCCUGAAGUCCGUGACCGCGAGGGUCGGCCUAGGGUGAAACCGGUGAUUGGGGCUAAGUCGUAACAAGGUAAC